UCCUGGGCUCCUGUGCCUGCACGUAGCCCUGUCAUGCACAUACCAUCUGUAUGAUGCUACAUCGAUUUCCUGUUGCCAUUAUGACAAAUUUAUACAAACUUAGUGGCUUAAAGCAAUACGAAUUUAUUAUCUUACAGUUCUGGAGAUCAGAAGUCUAACAUGGGUCUCACUGGGCUAAAAUCAAGGUGUCGGCAGGGCUAGGUUCAUCUCUGGAGGCUCUAGAGGGACAAUCAGUUUUCUUGGCCUUUUCCAGCUUCCAGAGGCUGCCCACAUUCCUUGGUGCAUGGCUUCCGUCCAUCUUAAAGUCAGCAAUGGCUGGUCGAGUCUCGUACCACAUCACUCUGACACUCGCUUCUGCAUCCCUCUUUCACUUACAAGGACCCUCGUGAUGACGGGCAUAGUUAGGAUAAUUUCUCGAGGUCAGGUGACAGGCAGCUUUCAUUCCAUCUGCAACCUCAAUUCUCCUUUGCCUCGUCAGGUAGCCCGUUCACAAGCUCUGGGGAUUAGGACGUGAACAUGUUUGGGGGGGCUGUCAUUCUACCCCCCACAGACAGUCUAUCUCUUUUUCCAGGCCUGCGCUGUACCUUACUCAUUCAGCUACUCCUCAGGAGCAGAACAGUGUCCAGCCUGCACUGGUGUUUAUUAUAUAUUUGUUGAAUAAAUCUGACUCAACCAGCGAUUUACUGAGAGUCCAUUCUGUGCUGGGUAAUUUCACCUAUAUCAUCACAGCUGAAGAAAAUGAGGCUCAGAGAAGUUAGAAACCACCCGAAGCCAGAAAGCUAGUAAGUGACAGAGCCGGAGGCCUCAGUGUACACUGACCUCAGAUGGAAAAUGCUGAUACCCUUGUUCCUUUGUGUCUAGUGCUCCUAAAGAGGUAAACCCCUAGACCUUAGGUCGUGGCCAUGAAAAUGCACCUGAUCUCAGACUGGCCCCUGCUGCUACGCUCUAAUGUCCAUCGCUGUUUGCACUGAAUUUAAUUUUGGCACAAGGACUCCCCUUUGGCCUUGACGCUUUCUUAGAUUUGAACGGCAUCGCACCUUCUGUCCUUCUGUCUCUCCUUCACGGGGGUCAAACUUACAUCACAGUCUGCCAUCCCUCCCAGCUUUCCCCGGCUCCCUGCCCAUCUUCACUCACAGGUGUUUUCCUAAAAAUCUCUUGCCCAUAGGAUCCUGUCCUGGUGUCUACUUCUUCAAUGACAAGAACUAACAUGAGCGGAAGAGAGGCCCAAGGGAAACAAGGAGGAGCUGCUCUCUGAACCUGGUGGGGAAGCAGAUCUGUGUGGCAUGAGGGGUGGAAAGUGACAACCAUGAAGACUUCUCCCACGUCUCCGACUGCAGGGACUGUAAGUGACUGUCGGCCCCAGCUGCCAUGUUCUCAGAUCCACUGCGGCGUUUGUGCCAAGCCCAGGCUUCCCUCUGGCCGCUGUCUGAUGACUGAGUGUGGCGCGGAUCCUAGGUGGGCCCAUUCUCGGGAGAUGUGGGAUUCCUCUGAUGACUCCUGAAGGCUUGAGGACUUCUCACCCACCUGGCUGAACUUCCUGAGAACUGCACUGCAGUCUGUCCCUCCCUUUCUCUUUCAUAAGGGGCACAUCUUCCAUCCUCCUUUGCUUUUCCUUCCUAUUUGGUAUCUGCUUCUCAGAGGACUGGGACUAACACUUCUCUGUUACUCCAAGUGUUGUCCUUGGACCAGCAGCCUUGGCAUGACUUGAGAGCUUGUUAGAAAUAGAGAAUGUCUAACCCCACCCCAGACCUACCAAAUCAGAAUCAUUUUAACAAGAUGAUUCAUUCAUAUGUGCAUUACACUUUCAGAAGCACUGAUUUAGAUGAGUUGGUCUUUUCCAGCAAAUCUUGUAAAGAGUUUGGAACCCGAGCCUUCGCAAAGGUAAAGUUUGAAUCACAGAAUCACAGAUCACCUAAGUCCUUCAUUUUAUAGGUCAAAGCCCAGCAAAGUUUAGGGACUGGUUCCAGGUCAUAUAGUGAAUUAGAUUAGAGAAAGCACUCAAGUCUCUCCCUCCCACUGCAGGUUCUGCUGUGAGGUUAUUCGCUCCAAGUCUGUAUUGUCUAGUAUGGUAGCACUGGACACGCAGCAUAAUGAUAAUAAUAAAAAAAAUUGAUCUUU